rnacentral:misc_RNA from 1 species
GAUGAAGAACGCAGUGAAAUGCGAUAAGUAAUGUGAAUUGCAGAAUUCAGUGAAUCAUCGAAUCUUUGAACGCACCUUGCACCCUUUGUCAUUCUGAAGGGUAUGCUCGUUUGAGUGUCAUUGUACUCUCACACUCCCGAUCUUUGCAUUGGGAGCAGUGGACUUGGGUUUGCUGCUUCACCGUCGCUUACCUCAAAUAGGUUAGUGCAACUCUUGGUUGGACAUAGUACGGCGUGAUAAGUGUUCUUCGCCGGUGCCUCGCAAAGAGGGUGGCCGAUCGGGAUGUUGUGCUCCAAACCGUCUUCGGACAAUCUCUGACGACUUGACCUCAAAUCGAGUAAGACUACCCGCUGAACUUAAGCAUAUCAAUAAGCGGAGGA